AACCAUAGAAACCUGCGGAGUACCUGCGGAGGGAUCAUUAUAAAAUUUUCAUAUAUUAAAUUUAUUUAAUAUAUAAAAAUUAUAUACAAAAUGUAUUCAAAACCCACACUCUUUAUAACCAUAAAAAAUAUUAUAUAUUUAUAAUAUAAAAAAACAACUUUUAGCAACGGAUCU
rnacentral:misc_RNA from 1 species